GAACGCACAUUGCGCCUUCUGGUAUUCCGGAAGGCAUGCUUGUUUGAGUAUCAGUAACAACCUCAGCCAAGCUCUCUCGCUUCUGGCGCAGAAAGCAAAAGCUGGAUUUGAGCAAAGUCCCUUGGGAUCAAUUCGACAACCUUCGGGGAGCCAAUUGAGCCGUGGGGGAUGCUUGAAAUACAGGUUCGGACUGACCAAAUGUCCUGGGCUACAAGCAUUUCAUACUUGAUCCCGUUAAACGGAUCAUUUCCAUUGCUGCAGCCAACACAAACAGGAUCAAUCGUGUCCAGUAUCCCGACUGAUGCAGGAAGUUGGAACAACAGAGCGAUCUGUGGUUCUUUCUAAACUCGAUCUCAAAUCAAGUAAGACUACCCGCUGAACUUAAG
rnacentral:misc_RNA from 1 species